rnacentral:rRNA from 1 species
GACGAACGCUGGCGGCGUGCUUAACACAUGCAAGUCGAACGGUGAAGGGACCGGUUUUUGCUGGUUCUGGAUGAGUGGCGAACGGGUGAGUAACACGUGAGUAACCUGCCCCCUUCUUCUGGAUAACCGCAUGAAAGUGUGGCUAAUACGGGAUAUUCUGUGCCUGCUGCAUGGUGGGUGUGGGAAAGAUAUUGUUUCGGUGGGGGAUGGGCUCGCGGCCUAUCAGCUUGUUGGUGGGGUGAUGGCCUACCAAGGCGGUGACGGGUAGCCGGCCUGAGAGGGUGGACGGUCACACUGGGACUGAGACACGGCCCAGACUCCUACGGGAGGCAGCAGUGGGGAAUAUUGCACAAUGGGCGCAAGCCUGAUGCAGCGACGCCGCGUGAGGGAUGGAGGCCUUCGGGUUGUAAACCUCUUUCGCCAGUGAAGCAGGCCUGUCCCUUUUGUGGGUGGGUUGACGGUAGCUGGAUAAGAAGCGCCGGCUAACUACGUG